AGUAUCUGCAGCUUUGUUUCCUGCAGAGAAAAUGCUAGUUUGAAUUCUCACUCAAGAAAGAUCUAAAGCAUCACUGAGUCAAGGGCUUUCUACCCUGAAUUCAAUAGACUUCAGUCUGCCUUUCAGAUAAACCGCAUCCCUGCAAGUAUACUGACACUUGAAAAAGAGUCCUUGGAUAACCUGCACAGAAGCUGAACCACCAGAGAGGUGCUACUUCAGAAAAGCAAGCAGACAAAGGUACCAGAAGCAGUGCAGGGGAAACACUUCUGGACCUUGGAAAUUUCUACAUCGCUCUUCUAUGGUGACUCAGCUGAAGAUCUCCCAUACGAUCUAGGAGAAUGCGUGGUGGGGCGGGAUUUCCAUCCUUUGAAGGAGUGUAGCAGGGUCCUCAGCUCAUGAAAGGAAAGAAAAAGAAGCCUUUGCAGAAUCCGAAGACAGUGGAAUACAUUCUGCGAUUUCCUGGACUUUAUGCUACCUCUUGAAACUGAACAUAACUACAAAGAGUACGAAGAAUUUAAUAAAUUACAGAUACCCAGUACUUCAAUGGACAUUUACAGAAAUACACGGUAUGGUCGUUAGGUUGUCUGGGACCUGAAAUUCUUGCAUUCAAGUCCCUGCUCCUCGGCGGACCCUUAGGCCAUAAUUAAAGAGCCUACAUUUUAUUUACGCUGUGGGGCUCAUGUUUCCUACAGCCACCAUGCUCCUGAGACGGCCAGUGGUAAGCUCCAGGAACAGGACUCAGGCAGAACGUGCUGUCUCAGUACAGCCCUUCCAUACACUUUUCAUCCAAUCUCUCAGGACCUGCUUCACAUAAGUGUUUAUAUACCUCAUCUCAAUCAGUUCCUUGAGCCUUGGCACCCAAGUAACCCACCCGUGAAGCUGGGUGUCACGAUGUUUUGCCUCUCCGAGAUACUGUGAGGAUAAAGGACAGACGCCAAGGGAAGGGCUUGGUAAAUCAGGCCCAGCACCAGGCACAUGUGGGCGUUUUCGUUGCCAGGACCCAAGCUAACGUCUCCCCAGGAGAUGGUUUUGCUCCACACAGACGCACCAGCAUUCUGCUCUGCUCCAGAUUUGAGGGUGCGACACACAUGCACCCUGAGCGGUGCUAUGCCACUUUUAUCCCAAAUCUAGAGCGGGUGACGAAUUUUUUGGUCAAGAACUUGCCUGCAGUGAUUCACGCUUCUGGGACUGUAAAGAAGUUGGGAACGUCAGAGCAAUCCUUAAAACUGAACCAAAGGGGGCAUGGGGAGGAGUGAAACUGCUUGGAGCCAUCUUGAUGCCUCAUCUAUCUGCGUCGAGCAUAGCCCGACCAUAGGUGGGGAUUUGCUCCUAUUUCAUGUCACAGAGGUAUGAGGAGGCGUGCAUAACAAUAACCUUGGCAUUUAUUCCUUUCUCUGGAAAGUAUUUUAUUCAUCUACGUAUAUAUUACACAUUGAAAAAAUGUUAUCGGAGUUUGAAAAGACAAUAGUUUAGAUGUGCUUGAUUUGUGGACUACAAAUACACUUAAGCCGAAAGGAGGCCUAAAAAACUAGUGUGUCACAAAAUAGUUGCAGAUUUUAAGGCUGAAGGCCAAAUUUCAGUAUAUGGUGUUGUUUUCUGUAUUCCCUAUGAUCACAAAGUGAGGCAGAGAGCAUGACAGGCACUGGGCUUGAUGAAGGGGUCUCUCAUUAUUUUAAGAAACCAGGCCUUGUUCUGGUUUUUUCCCCCUUUGCUCCUGAAUCCAGUGGACACAAGAUUAGCUCUGAAAAGAGAGCAGGCCUGAGAAUUCCAAUUAAUAUUCAGAGGGAAAAACUCACAGAAUUUUUGUGAAGAGCUUGUUCAUGCCAGUCCCCUCCCAAGCACAUCCUAUUUAUAUGGCCUAUAAACCAAAAAGACUGCGAAGAGCAGAGAUGAGUGAAACUUCUUUAGUGUGUAAAGUGACAGCCAUUGCUCUAGUUUGUGUAAUAACAGUAAUGAGUAGAUAGGUAUAAAAUACUAUUUGUUUACAAGUACUGUAUAAAUAUCAACUAAAUAAUUCUUGCAAUAGAUAUGGAAGUAGGUAUUUUUUAUUGUAACGUGACUGGUAAUUUGUAUUCAAACUUGGGUCAGAAAACUCAGGCUUGGGCCUCCAAAGUUCAGUAACGUAUUUAUGGUCCCAAAAUAAGCGUUGUGGUUUUCAGAGAUGACAGGUAGGCCUGCUUUCACUGAACUCAGCCAAUAUGGCAGCUAUUUGUUGAAUUAUCUGUUCAUUUUAAGUACAUU